rnacentral:lncRNA from 1 species
UCAACUUUGGUAAAACAUUUUUUAUUAAAUUAUGUGAAAAUUUUUCAUCGUCACAUAAUAAUAGAGCAGGUUUUAGUUGUGUCAUAACGUCAUAAACAAAUAAUUGUCAGAUGGAAUUAGAGUCGAAUGUGAUUCGAACUAUUGACUGAUUCUUUUUCAAUAAAAGUAUAGUAUGAAGGUGGUUAGAGACAGUGUUGAACACUCAUCAUCUGCCCAUUUUUCCCCACAUGUUGAAAAUCUUCCAUUUAAAAGCAAAACAUUAUACUAUAAUUAUGUAUUUUAAAAAUUAAAAAAUGCUUUAAACAAA